AUGUGAGUAUUAUUAUUUACAUAUCAGUCUUCUGCCUUGUCUUAAAAACGACUCCUCUGCCACCACAUUACCCCCUCAGGGUAUCUCCUGUUCCUGCCAGCUAAAACCCUAGCAACCGUUGCUAUGGAAGCUUUCUACCUUCCCAGAGUGCCUUGUUUUUUCCACCCCCUUUCCUAGCCAAUUCCAUCCCAACUUGCCACUUCCAGAAUUCUCCUAUAAAAGUCACUUCUGUUUCAGCUCUCUCUCUCUUUCUCUUCCAUGUUCUGACCUGGAGAAGACAUAGAGAAGAGCUGAUGUGCAUAGUGGGAGGCAGCCAUUUUGCUAGCUCUAUGUGGCCUAAACCUGCUGUGCUCACACCUGACUCUGGGGCGUCCGCAUGAAUAAAGAUUUGCAUUCCCGCUCUGCCACAAGUUCCUUGUCUCUCUCUCCCACGAAGCUAGCACGGCACCCUUCCAAGCCCUGUGAUUUCCCAGAAGAGACUCACCCAGAAAGAAAAGGACAAAGAUCAGGGUUGUGACUUACACAUUUCUAUGUUUAGUUACAUGCCUGCCAUCCCUUCUAAAUAUCUUUAUUCCUUUUGUGUUAGUCCACAUUCAGGAAAAUAUCUAUAACUUCUCUAGAUCUAGAAGAGGGACCAUGGAUCCCCCUUCAGCCACUGCUGUCCAUGUGCCAAGGAGUUUACAGAACUCAAUCAUGAACUGAGUACCUGGAAAUUAAAAACCCGGAAACAGGAGAAAAUCCUCAGGGAACUUAUCACAGAAAGAAGCAACAUCAAGGUGCUAGUGGAACAGUUACAGUUUCUCAUACCUGAACAUGAGCUCUUUCUCCAGAAUUCAGAGUCCGAUACCAAAAUCCAGGAUGCAGAAGAAGUUCAGAGUGAGCUUGACAUCCUGAACAACCUUAUCUCAGUCUUUGAAUCUCACCUAUCUCUGAAGGAAAAGCCUGUCAGUCUUCCAGGCUGUUCUCAUAAAGUACAGCACUGAGGAUAGUGAUCUUGAUAUUAUCCACAUCAUCCCAAAAGACAAAAGUAUCUGGACCUUGAUUCAGGACUUCUUAGACAAAAAUUUUGUCUGAAUAUGCUGGCCAGUAGGGCAAGGAACUCAUCAUUUCAAUGCAGCUUAAUUUCCAGAAAACCAUGAGCAAUGACAAGCCAAGAAUAGUAGUUACUAUCACUGCAUUAGUAAUAGUAGUUUCUAUUGAUAUGGUAAUAGGCAAGACUCUACUAGAAGCUAAUAACAUUUUAUUUUUUGCUGGAAAUGGAGUCCUCCUCCUAUUCAGUGAGGAUUCUAAAGGCCCAUUCAACUUACCAUCCACUCUCACAGCAUCUCUGCUCCUGCAGCUUGUAACCAGAGUGAGAACAUUACCCUGGAGCUCUGCACAACAUUGCAGGAAUGAAUAGUGCAAGAUAUUGAUGUCCAACAGCUUUUCUGGUAUGAAAACCAUUCUAAACUUUGCAGUAAACUUGGGAAGAAGCAGGAAAGCAUCAGAAGAAACUCCCACUCACUAUUUUAUCACACACAGAAUUUCCAUGAACAGUUCAAUAAAUUCCUGUGCAGUCUUUCUCA